AAGAAUAUAGUUAAAUAUAACAUUUGACCUGCAAUCAAAAAGUAUUGGAUACCAAUUUUUCUUA
rnacentral:tRNA from 1 species